rnacentral:rRNA from 1 species
GAGUUUGAUCCUGGCUCAGGAUGAACGCUGGCGGCGUGCUUAACACAUGCAAGUCGAACGAAGCGAUAGGAAGGAAGUUUUCGGAUGGAAUUCAUAUUGACUGAGUGGCGGACGGGUGAGUAACGCGUGGGUAACCUGCCUCAUACAGGGGGAUAACAGUUAGAAAUGACUGCUAAUACCGCAUAAGCGCACAGAAUCGCAUGAUUCGGUGUGAAAAACUCCGGUGGUAUGAGAUGGACCCGCGUCUGAUUAGCUAGUUGGUGGGGUAAAGGCCUACCAAGGCGACGAUCAGUAGCCGACCUGAGAGGGUGAUCGGCCACAUUGGGACUGGGACACGGCCCAAACUCCUACGGGAGGCAGCAGUGGGGAAUAUUGCACAAUGGGGGAAACCCUGAUGCAGCAACGCCGCGUGAGUGAAGAAGUAUUUCGGUAUGUAAAGCUCUAUCAGCAGGGAAGAAGAUGACGGUACCUGAUUAAGAAGCCCCGGCUAACUACGUGCCAGCAGCCGCGGUAAUACGUAGGGGGCAAGCGUUAUCCGGAUUUACUGGGUGUAAAGGGAGCGUAGACGGCAUAGCAAGUCUGAAGUGAAAGCCCAAGGCUCAACCAUGGGACUGCUUUGGAAACUGUUAAGCU